AUUGAACGCUGGCGGCAGGCUUAACACAUGCAAGUCGAGCGGAGAUGAGGUGCUUGCACCUUAUCUUAGCGGCGGACGGGUGAGUAAUGCUUAGGAAUCUGCCUAUUAGUGGGGGACAACAUUCCGAAAGGAAUGCUAAUACCGCAUACGUCCUACGGGAGAAAGCAGGGGAUCUUCGGACCUUGCGCUAAUAGAUGAGCCUAAGUCGGAUUAGCUAGUUGGUGGGGUAAAGGCCUACCAAGGCGACGAUCUGUAGCGGGUCUGAGAGGAUGGUCCGCCACACUCGGACUGAGACACGGCCCAGACUCCGUCGGGAGGCAGCAGUGGGGAAUAUUGGACAAUGGGGGGAACCCUGAUCCAGCCAUGCCGCGUGUGUGAAGAAGGCCUUAUGGUUGUAAAGCACUUUAAGCGAGGAGGAGGCUACUGAGACUAAUACUCUUGGAUAGUGGACGUUACUCGCAGAAUAAGCACCGGCUAACUCUGUGCCAGCCGCCGCGGUAACAC
rnacentral:rRNA from 1 species